rnacentral:rRNA from 1 species
AUUCCAGCUCCAAUAGCGUAUAUUAAAGUUGUUGCAGUUAAAAAGCUCGUAGUUGGAUUUGUGGCGUACGGUGUGUUCCGGCACUUGUUGUCUGAGUAACCUGCUGUUGCCAUCCUUGGGUCGAACCUGUGUGGCAUUAGGUUGUCGUGCAGGGGAUGCCCAUCAUUUACUGUGAAAAAAUUAGAGUGUUCAAAGCAGGCUUAUGCCGUUGAAUAUAUUAGCAUGGAAUAAUGAGAUAGGACUUUUUUGCUAUUUUGUUGGUUUGCGCAAAGAGGUAAUGAUUAAUAGGGACAGUUGGGGGUAUUCGUAUUCCAUUGUCAGAGGUGAAAUUCUUGGAUUUUUGGAAGACGAACUACUGCGAAAGCAUUUACCAAGGAUGUUUUC